rnacentral:rRNA from 1 species
AAUGAACGCUGGCGGCGUGGUUAAGACAUGCAAGUCGAACGGGAUAUUAGGUGUAGCAAUACAUCUGAUGUUCAGUGGCGAACGGGUGCGUAACACGUGAACAAUCUACCUUUAAGUGUGGAAUAGCUCGCCGAAAGGCGAAUUAAUACCGCAUGUGGUGGCCUCUCUCCUGAGAGACCUACUAAAGUCGGGGACCGCAAGGCCUGACGCUUGAAGAGGAGUUCGCGGCCUAUCAGCUUGUUGGCGAGGUAACGGCUCACCAAGGCUAAGACGGGUAGCUGGUCUGAGAGGACGACCAGUCACACUGGAACUGAGACACGGUCCAGACACC